AAUAAAAUAAAAAAAGAAACAAAAAAACAUGAGGUAAAAAAUAAAUCGAUAUGAAAAAAUUCGAUUUUCUUUUAUCCCUCAAGAGAAGAGAAUAAAUGAUCAUAAUUUCAAUAAUCAUAAUUAAUCAACGAUUAUGGAAAAGCGCCAACACCAUCUCAGUAAGAAUAGUACCAGAAUGGAUAAUUAAAUUAAAAGAUAUUAUGGCUAAGGAAAUAAAAAGAAAGUUUCUCUAAGGGUGGUUGAUCUAUCAGAUAUAAUAUAUCUUCCUUUCGAGUGGAAUAUCGUUUUAUCGUAAAGUCGACGAUCUCUGUUAGCGUCGAAUAGCAAAGUAGAAAAAUAAGAAGAAGAAUAAAGAAAAGAAGAAUAAAAAGAAGAAAAAAAGAGGUAGCUAUUCUCUUUUUUUUUCUCUCUCUCUCUCUCUCUCUCUCGGAAAACAGCAUUUCAGUGUUCGAUUAAACGAAUAAAAGGGGUAAGCUAAGAGAAAAGAGGAGAAGCGAGAGAUAGAAUAGAAAAGAAAAGAAGAGAAGAAAAGAGAAGAGAAAAGAAAAGAAAAGAAAGAAAAAGAAAAGAAAAGAAAGAAAAAGAAAAGAAAAAGAAAAGAAAAGAAAAGAAAAGAAAAGAAAAGGAGAGAAAAGAAGAGGGAAAAAAAAGGUCGAACGGCACGCUGCGACAAGGACGACGGCGUCGGCUGCGAGAAACACGGACGAUCGGGUGCUGGCGAAGAGGGUUACUGGUGGUGCAGGGUAGUGAGUGAGUGAGUGAGUGAGUGAGUGAGAGAGAGAGAGAGAAGAGGGUAUAAGCUGAGGGUGAGAGGCCCGCCGGAGAUGGUUGGUCGUUCGCUCUCCGGAGGUGGAUGCAUAGGGGUGGUGCCAUCGGUUCGGAGGCAAGAGGGAAAGCCAACGGCAGAAUCCAACCUCACCAAUCAAUACUUAGGGUUCAAGGGCAUCGCCCGACCAAUUAUACCCUACUAAUUGCCGCGAAACGAGAGAAAGAAAUCCUUUUACUCGGACUUUAUUUCUAUCUCUCACACACACACACACACACACACAUAUUAGAUUAGGACGCAUAACGGAAGGUUGAAAAUAUAUUUUUAUAUAAAGAAAUUCAAAUUUGAAUUUUUAUUAUCCAUCCUCCCUCCCUCCCUCUUCCUUUUCCCCUAUCGCAGAUAUAUUAAUAAAUUAAAUAUUACUACACUUAACACACAUUGAUCUCUUCUCGAUCAAUUGAUAUAUUUUUGAUUAUUAAUCUUUAUAAAGAAAGAAUUACAAGUAAAAGAAACGAUGAGUUAUUCUAAUUGAAAUCGCGGUGACAUAUAUAUAUAUAUAUAUACAGAGAGAGGGAGAGAGAGAGAGAGAGAGAGAGAGAGAGAGAGAGAGAGAGAGAGAGAGAGAGAGAGAGAGGAGGGUCGCAGGGAGGAGCGAAAAGGGAUGACCGAGUAGACGUUGAAACCGAAGGUAUGCAGGCGACAGAGAGAAUCGAUCUAUCGGAACUCCGCCGCGGGACGAGGAUAAUCUCGAGAAGGGUAGAGGAGCGUCAGGAGGGGAGGAAGAGGAGGAGGAGGGCGUCGUUGUUUGGCCGUCCACGCGAGACCGCGAGCCGCUCCGGUAUUGGUUAAUACCGCACUCUCUUCCUCGGAGCUGUCCCUUUUCUUCGAGACGAUUUAAGCCGCUUUGUGAGCGGCCUUUGCGCGCGAUUCGCUACCGCCGCCGUUUCUUUGAAUCCUAUCGAGGAUCUAUUUCCCCCCCCACCCCCUUUUUUCCCUCUUUUCUCUUACCUUCCUUUUUUUCUUUUUUCUCUUUCCUUUUUUUUCCUUCUUCUCAACACGCCAUUUUAACGACGACGAAACGUUUACUCAAAAUUUUCGGACUGACUAAACCAACGAUAUUAUCAUAGACGUUUAAUAAUGUAUAUAAUGUAAUAAUAAAAAUAUUCGAUAAUCUAAUAACAGAGAUAAAAGAAAUAUGAGGUUAGAUAUUUUUGACGAGAUUUUAUUAAUCCGCACGACGAUACGAUCGAACGAUUUAUCAUGUCGGAUUUCUUUUAUUCUAUCUUUGCAACGUAAGAAAUCUGUGAUUCCACGUGGAUUGGAAAGUGCGAAGAAAAAGAAAGAAAGAAAGAAAGAAAGAAAAAAGAAAGGGAGGAAGGAAGGAAGUAAGGAAGAGUCAGAGUGUGGUGCAAUAAGGUGGACGAGAAAGAGAGAAAGUAAAAGGAGGAGAAGGAGAAAGGAGAAGUAAAAGAAAAAGAAACAGACGAUUCGAGAGCAAAAAGGAGAGCAGAGCUUGGCGUGAGAGGGUCGCCGUAGAUAAAAAGAAAAGAAAGAAAAAGGAAAACCAUUCUAACUUCCUCUCUAAAAUACGAACUUUGAGAAGAAUUCCUUUCCCAAUUACAAUCUUUCCGAAAAAGACUAUUUUCCUUUCGAAUAGAUCCUUAGAAAAAAGAUAAAUAAAUAAAUAAAAAAAUAAAUAAAAAAAAAAAAAAAAA